rnacentral:rRNA from 1 species
GUGGGGAAUCUUGCGCAAUGGACGAAAGCCUGACGCAGCCAUGCCGCGUGAAUGAUGAAGGUCUUAGGAUUGUAAAAUUCUUUCACCGGGGACGAUAAUGACGGUACCCGGAGAAGAAGCCCCGGCUAACUUCGUGCCAGCAGCCGCGGUAAUACGAAGGGGGCUAGCGUUGCUCGGAAUUACUGGGCGUAAAGGGCGCGUAGGCGGACAGUUUAGUCAGAGGUGAAAGCCCAGGGCUCAACCUUGGAAUUGCCUUUGAUACUGGCUGUCUUGAGUACGGGAGAGGUGAGUGGAACUCCGAGUGUAGAGGUGAAAUUCGUAGAUAUUCGGAAGAACACCAGUGGCGAAGGCGACUCACUGGCCCGUUACUGACGCUGAGGCGCGAAAGCGUGGGGAGCAAACAGGAUUAGAAACCCUUGUAGUCC